UCGUUGUCUAAACAGUAAUCCAACCCAGUACGAGAGGAACCGUUGGUUCAGAUAAUUGGUAACUGCGGUUAGCUGAAAAGCUAGUAGACUACAAUUCGCCGCACAUUAUAAAUACGUGACAAAGAUUUUAAGCUUGAGCUCAUCCCGCUUCACUUGCCGUUACUAGAGGAAACCUUGUUAGUUUCUUUUCCUCCGCCUAUUAAUAUGCUUAAGUUCAUGGGCACCCAACAUCAUACAAUUGCAACGCACUUUGCUGCCUAUCAAAUAAAGGUAGUGAAGAUUAGGCUGAUUUGUAAUUUCAAAUAUUGGGAAAGAUAAAUCCUUUGUAGACGACUUAACUACAGAACGGGUGUUGUAAGCAUGAGAGUAGUCUUGUACUACGAUCUGCUGAGCCCGCGUGUAGCAUUA
rnacentral:ncRNA from 1 species